CCAUUCAUUACGGGGCCAACACUCCUUUGACAGACGCACGAGAAACAACAAGGAGAAGAAGCUUUCACUUCUUUUCUUUUCUCUCUGUCUGCCAAAGGAGAUUGGCCCCGCAAUGUACAC
rnacentral:pre_miRNA from 1 species